UACGUAGGAGACGAGCGUUGUCCGGAGUUACUGGGCGUAAAGGGUGCGCAGGCGGCCUGGCGCGUCGCGAGUGAAAUCUCCUGGCUCAACUGGGAGGGUGGUCGCGAGACGGCUGGGCUUGAGGCUCGGUGAGGGGGGUAGAAUUCCACGUGUAGCAGUGAAAUGCGUAGAGAUGUGGAGGAAUACCGAUGGCGAAGGCAGCCCCCUGGGCCAAUACUGACGCUCAUGCACGAAAGCGUGGGGAGCAAACAGG
rnacentral:rRNA from 1 species